rnacentral:lncRNA from 1 species
CUACUAUCUGUUGCUCUCCCUCUCCAGCUAACUUUCUUCCUGUCCAUCUCUCUCUAUCUCUUUGGAUCUCAAUGGGAUGGUGCUGGCUAUAGCUGUCGCUCUCUCCCUCUCUGAUUCUCUUCAUCCCUUUUUUUCAUUGUCUUCCAUCAUCCCUCCAUCCUAAGGCUCUGGCUCCUCCGGCCGGUGCCCUGUCAUUUUUCCCGUGGGCGGCAGCGAGAUAUGAAGCGUCGCCAUGGGUUUCAUGGAAUUCUACUUGGAGAUUGACCCCGUGACCCUGAACCUCAUCAUCCUGGUGGCCAGCUACGCCAUCCUCCUCCUUGUCUUCCUCAUCUCCUGCAUCCUGUACGACUGCCAGGGGAAGGACCCCACCAAGGAGUACGCCCCCGCGCCCCCCGCACCCCCCAGCCAGUCGCCCAUACGCCUUGUGGUCAUGCAGAACUCUCCUGCCUCGUCUCGCUAUGAGCAGCAGAAUCAGAACAACAUGGCUGGUCCAGAACCCAGCAGAAAGCCAGAACCCAGCAGGAACCUGGAACCCAGCAGGAACCUGGAACCCAGCAGAAAGCCAGAACCCAGCAGGAACCUGGAACCCAGCAGGAAGCCAGAACCCAGCAGGAACUUGGAACCUAGAAGGAACCCAGAACCCAGCAGGAAGCCAGAACCCAGCAGGAACCCAGAACCCAGCAGGAAGCCAGAACCCAGCAGGAAGCCAGAACCCAGCAGGAACCCAGAACCCAGCAGGAAGCCAGAACUCAGCAGGAACCACUACGAGUACAACAGGAACCACUACGAGCCGCCGGCGCUGACGCCCACCCCUGACCUGGGGAGGGAGAAGAGGAGCACCCUGGUCUGAGAAGGAGAGAGGGAGGAGGUGGGGGAGUCCAUGACUUAAGAGAAGAGAGAUACUAAGUUCUGGAUUUGACACUGUGGAGGAGAGAGGGAGAAGAGGGGAGAUUCGGUUGUAUAGACAAGGCCUGGACUGGACUAGACUGGACUGGAUGUAAAUUGCUGCUGUUUCAUUUAGUAUUUUCUUUUUGCUCUGUCGAUUUUUUUUAUUUUGAUCGUUGAUGUAUGAUGUUGCUGAGAAGGUGGGACCUGGCAGGUAGAGAGGCUGCAGUAAGGGAAUCCCCCCACCCACAUGCUCGGAGAAAGAUAAACAGGCACACACUCGCACGGCAGCAGAUCAGUAUGGAGUCACCAGCACUCAGAAACCAGAGGACCUCUGACAUUAUGGAAUCACCCUCCUCUCUCUCCUGUUCACCCCAUCGCUACAUCGUUGGGCAUGACGAUGCCAAAGGACCAGUAGACGACACCCUGCCACACCUCACUAAGAAUGAACCGCAUUGGGAUCAGGUUCUACAUGUAUAAUGAUGGAACUAUGAACUAAUGGAGAACUGCAAUACCCAAUAGCAUCCAUGUAGUCCACACUACUUCAUAGAAACUGGAGGAGACAUCCAAGCCACAAUGGAACAACAACUUUCAUUAAGACCAGCUACUUCAUAGAAACUGGAGGAGACAUCCGAGCCACAAUGGUACAACAACUUUCAUUAAGACCAGCUACGUCAAUGAAGAGACUGACGGUUGAUUGGAGCAGGAUGUCCUGUGACUGUUCUCCACUCAGCCACAUCAAGCCUCAGUCACGGCAAGUCAUCUGCUCUGCCACGACUUUGAAACAACCAACGGUCAGAGAGUCGUGAUACCGAGGGACUUGACAAGCUAAAGCCUCUUAUGUAAAAAAACAAACAAGGGCCUUGUCAGCUCAGUGCCCAUCGAGACCAACCAAUGACUUGACCAAUCACAGAGCCCCAUUUGCAAUAUGAAUAGCAGCAAAUGAUAUUUCCCCCAUGUUUCAUGUUUGAGGGAUUAGAGUCCAACUCAAGUAUUAUGGGAGAGCGAGGGUUACGUAUUCUUUCUGAUGUUUGCUCUGCUUUGCUUUGGUCCUCUCUGCAGGGUAACACACGUUUCUUCUUGUUAACAGACCAAAAACAUUUUGGUCAUAUUCUGGAUUUGACGUAGGUGGUAGUGGGACUAAUAAGGAUUGGACAUCAGUUAAGGGACUUAGUCUAGGGAGGGAGAUAUUUGUGGCACGCAAGACGGAGGAUUUAAAAUCAAACUUGACUUGAGCCAACGUUCAAAUGAACUUGUAAGCCUGGGGCAUAUUCAUGAGUUAUGAAAUGGAAGCAAACAGGUUGAAACAGGGUGGAAUUUUCCCAAUAAGAACCAAUUGUUGUCUUUUUCUGUUGCAAAACAUUUUGCUACGGUGUGUACACUAAUGAAUAACACCCAGGUUUUGGGGAGAAGUUAGACAUGUUGCUCUCAAAACACAGUAUAUCCUUUAUCAAAUGUUAUAUUUAUGGUACAUUAUUAACAUACCGCUAGAAUAUAUAGCACAUUAAAUAAAAGUAUCACAAAGUAUCACUGUUGCCCAAGCCCCUGUAAAUAACAUUGUAUAAAAAAAG